GACGAACGCUGGCGGCGUGCCUAAUACAUGCAAGUCGAGCGCAGGAAACUGACGGAACUCUUCGGAGGGAAGGCAGUGGAAUGAGCGGCGGACGGGUGAGUAACACGUAAGGAACCUGCCUCAAGGAUUGGGAUAACUCCGAGAAAUCGGAGCUAAUACCGGAUAGUUCAACGGACCGCAUGGUCCGCUGAUGAAAGGCGCUCCGGCGUCACCUUGAGAUGGCCUUGCGGUGCAUUAGCUAGUUGGUGGGGUAACGGCCCACCAAGGCGACGAUGCAUAGCCGAACUGAGAGGGUGAUCGGUCACACUGGGACUGGGACACGGCCCAGACUCCUACGGGAGGCAGCAGUAGGGAAUCUUCCACAAUGGACGAAAGUCUGAUGGAGCAACGCCGCGUGAGUGAUGAAGGUUUUCGGAUCGUAAAACUCUGUUGUAAGGGAAGAACACGUACGAGAGGGAAUGCUCGUACCUUGACGGUACCUUACGAGAAAGCCACGGCUAACUACGUGCCAGCCGCCGCCGUAACAC
rnacentral:rRNA from 1 species